AAAAAAAUCCCCGAAGCUAGAUGCCCACCGUGACCUACCGGUACCAGGCCCUCAAGGAAUCCCUCGCCGCCGCCAUCACCUCCUCCUCCUCCCCCCAGGCCGCCGCCGACCCCCGCCUCCCCCACGCGCUCGCUGUCGUCUCUGGCCUCGCCGCCAACGGCUACCUCGCCUCCCUCCUCGUCGCCCGCUACGCCCGCCUCGGCGACCCCGAUGCCGCGCGCGGGGUCUUCGACGCCGCCGCCGCCGCCGCCGCCGCGACCUCCUCCUCAUCCCCCGCGGCGGCGCCGCCCAAGCCGCUCCUCUACAACGCCAUGCUGCGGGCCUACCUCGCCCUGGGCCGCCCGCGCGAGGCGGCCGCGCUCUUCCGCGCCAUGCCCCCCGGCUGCCCGCGCGACCGCCAUACGUUCCACCUCGCCGCCACGGCCUGCGCGCGCGCCCCGGACCCCGAGAUCGGCCGCCGGGUCGGGGCAGCCGCCGCGGCCGCGGGGCUCGCGUCCGACCUCCUGGUCGCCACGGCGCUGGUCGGGAUGCACGCUGAGGCCGGGGACAUGGGCGCCGCGCGGGGGGUGUUCGACGGAGUGCCGCGCCCGGACGCCGUGGCGUGGAACGCGCUGAUCGGCGGGUACACGCGCGCGGGGCGCCUGGGUGAGGCCCUGGAGAUGUUCGGCAGGAUGAGGUCCGAGGAUGGAGCGCGGCCGACGGAGGCGACGCUCGUGAGCUUGGUUUCUGGUUAUGCCGGCUUCGGUCCUUGGAGGGGCAGAGGUAUGAUGCACGGCGUUGUGGUUAAGUCUGGCUUCCACUGCAGCCUCUUCGUUUGCAAUUCUCUCCUGGAGAUGUAUGCGGAGUUGGGCUCUUUGAGCGAGGCGGUGACGGUGUUUCGGCAUAUGGAGGCGAAGGACUCUGUUACUUGGAGCUCGAUGAUUGGUGGACUUGUUCGGAAUGGCAAACCGGGACAUGCUAUUAAGCUUUUCCACUGGAUGGUUUUGAAUUCGGAGGUGUUGGUCACACGGUCUAUCUUGCUUAACGUGAUAAUGGCCUGCGCUGAGUUGGGGAACUGGAGAGAAGGAAAAUGGAUUGAAGAAAACUAUGUAUUGUGUAAUGGCAGUGCAUUCAAGAGAGAUCCCUCUGUAUUGACCGCGCUGAUAUAUAUGUACGCAAAAUGCGGACAAUUAGGUUGGUCUGAUUGUCUUCUUCAUGGAUCUGCAGAGGUUAGAAGCGACGUGGUUGCAUGGAAUGCCCUGAUCAAAGGAUGUGGAGAGCUUGGACAAAUGGACAAGGCAAUCUGGUUUGCAAUAGAAAUGCAGAGGAUGGGCAUUGAUCCGGAUGCUGUUACAUUCUUGGAGAUCCUACCAAUGAUCUCGCUGAUUCCCUCGCUGAAGAAGGGGAUGGAAGCACAUGCUCAGAUUGUCAAAAGGGGUUUCCAGAAUGAACGAACGAUUGCUAAUUCACUUGUUUCCAUGUAUGGUCGGUGCGGGAGUCUUAGUCUUUCAGUUGGUGCCUUUGCUGGGAUUAUGGACAAGGAUGCAAUCUCUUGGACUUCUAUGAUGCAGGUAUAUGCAUGGAAUGGACUUGCUGCAGAAGUUGUCAAGCUUUUUGAGCUGAUGAAGGAAACAGAAGUACAACCAAAUCACUAUACUUUUGUUGCUGUGCUGGCUGCCUAUAAAAACACAGGUCUUGUUGAGGAGGGAAUUGGCUUUCUUAAGUGCAUGAAAGAACAGUAUGGUCUAGAGCCUCAUAUUGAGCAUAUAUCAUGUGUUGUUGAUAUGCUUUGUCGUGCUGGUCGCUUGACUGAUGCAUACCACCUGAUCCAGAAUUCUCGUUCUGAACACGUGAAAAACCCUAUAAUGUGGGGGACAUUGUUAAGUGGUUCCCGUUCAUGGGGGGAUUUGGUGAUUGGAGAAGCAGCAGCCAGGCAUCUUUUGUCCUUGGAUCUAGAAAACAGAGCUAACUAUAAAAUGCUGGCUGAUAUUUAUGUUUCACUUGGGAGAAGGGACAAUGCUGAUGAUGUCUUGAGACUGUUGAUGUCAAGAGAACUGGAUUUGAGACCAGGCUGUACCUGGACUGAAAGUGGCUAAAGAUUGCAAUAUAUGCUAGAAGAUGUCUCGGUGCAGGCUUACAUUUUGUACGGAAGCAGGGCUGCUUCAGUGCUGGAUCAUCUUCAGGAGGUUGCUGUCCAAAGAUCAUCUCACAGCUCAUGUCCUCAAAAUCUGAACAAUGUUUAGUCUCUCAGGCUAUCGUCUCAUGGAUAAGAACAUAUGGAACUUACUGGGAGACAUGUAGACAGCCGUGCCGAGUGAAUCUUGGAUGAACUUCUGGCAUGGGAUCUUGCAAAGAUUCGUGCACAUCCCAACACAGUUGGUGCUUUCCAGAAAUCUGUCAGAGUAAGAUAAGGAAGAAAAGGCUAUUCCUUUGUCAUUCCUCAAAUAAAUUAUAAUAUGGAGGAGAAAGAUGUGUUAUACCUCGCAUGGUCCAACGAGCCAAGGGAAGAAUAUGGUGGUGAAGGCUGCGAAGUACUCCCGGGAAAAUCUUGAAGGCGGCAUCAUCACCUUGAUCUGCCCAACAGAAUGAACGCUGUCAAUCCAAGCAAAGAGCAUAAAACCACUUGCCAUUGUGAGGAUGUAGCUGGGGAACGCGCGUUCCAGAGCGGUGGCCACAGUCUGCCACUGCUGAUCAACCCUGAACAGCCCGGAGAUGGCGAGGGCCGCCUCUAUCAGGCCUUCGUAGCCGUCCUUUCCGUUCUUCAGCCCUGCGUAACACAUCCACUGAAUCCACGCUGGUAGGAGUAUCAAUCACAAGACUGUAGGGAAACCAGUUAACAAACUUUCCCAUGCUUUUCAUCAUGCCUUUGUCCGCUGUCAGCGCCGUGCUGGGGAGAGGAUGAGAAAAACUGAGAGGGCCAGCAUGGGGUUUGGUCUGGUAGGGGCGGAGGGCACCGUGCAGAACAGUGUAGGACACCGCGGCGGCCACUGUGCUGACGACCGGACACGGUGUGACAACGCGGUGUCGGUCCCAUUGUGCAGUCGAUCUAGGCCGUCCGGUUCAGAUCCGACGGUUAAGGUUUAUGAUAAGGCGCGGAAGUACAGGGAUCUACUACGGCCUUAAUUUACUCCUCCAGUGACGAGAGAAUCUUCCUCCGGCUAACUAAGUGGGCUGUGAAGGAUGCUUAAUUGUUCUAAACAGGUAGAAAUUACAAGAGGGUAAGUGGUUGAUUUUUACUGAAGGGAAAAAAAUCUGCACGCAUGAUGUCUUUUUGGAGGUCGACCACCAUUUUCUUGGGUAUCUUAGCUCCGAGAGAGGAAAAAGGUUGGAGGAGAAAACCCAAAAUUAAGGAUAGAUUCAUCCACUACUAGAUUCCUAGAAAUGCGCACCUCACACCUGUGCGAAUCGCAGGUUUCGACCUCUCUUAGUUGCCGAUAUGCUGAUGAUGCACUUCCGUUUCAUAAUUUUAUAUAUAUGUACCUUAUUGUACCUCCCUUUUGGAUGAAUUUUAACAAGCUUUUCGCAUCUUUUGGACUAGUAACACAACAAACACUUACAAAUUGUUUUUUUUAAAAAAAAAACACUUGCAAAUUCAACACAAAUUUAAAAUUUGUAAGAGGUUCAAAUAGGCAUCGGCACCAGUCCGUAGAAGUCGAGGAGGGAAUCUGUAGGCUCGGGACGAAAACUUAGCGUCACAUCAUGCAGUCGCUUGCAUGAUCAUCAACAUCAACCAUUGCUAAAAUAUGGACAUGGGCAUAGGAGGACACACCACUGUACGUCUAUAGCAAAGAAGCCAAAUACUAGCACAUCAAAAGAGACGCAUGAAUGAAUCCGAGAAAAGAAAAGAAAAAAACAUGAACAGUUCUCCAAAAGCAUGGGAUUAUUCAGCUUGGUUCAUGCAAAUCCAAUCGCAGUCAUGGAGGCGCCAUGGCUGCUGGCUACGCACGCGGAAGCUUUCGAUCAUUCCGAAGGUGGCGAGCGAGAGAGAAUGCGUAGGCGCGAGGAGUACCGGAAGCUUCUUGAAGG